rnacentral:rRNA from 1 species
GAGUUUGAUCCUGGCUCAGAUUGAACGCUGGCGGCAUGCUUUACACAUGCAAGUCGAGCGGCAGCGCGGGGGCAACCCUGGCGGCGAGCGGCGAACGGGUGAGGAAUGCAUCGGAACGUACCCGAGAGUGGGGGAUAACGCCGCGAAAGCGGCGCUAAUACCGCAUAUUCUCUUUGGAGGAAAGUGGGGGACCGCAAGGCCUCACGCUCACGGAGCGGCCGAUGUCGGAUUAGCUAGUUGGUGGGGUAAAGGCUUACCAAGGCGACGAUCCGUAGCUGGUCUGAGAGGAUGAUCAGCCACACUGGGACUGAGACACGGCCCAGACUCCUACGGGAGGCAGCAGUGGGGAAUUUUGGACAAUGGGGGCAACCCUGAUCCAGCCAUGCCGCGUGCGGGAAGAAGGCCU